CGGGGCUUAAAGUCUUGUAAUUGGAAUGAUGGGAAUUUAAAUUUCUUCCAGAGUAUCAAUUGGAGGGCAAGUCUGGUGCCAGCAGCCGCGGUAAUUCCAGCUCCAAUAGCGUAUAUUAAAAUUGUUGCAGUUAAAAAGCUCGUAGUUGAAUUUCUGCUGCAUUGCUUGUGUCCCUCUGGGGUCUGUGCAUGUGGCUUUUUUCGGACGGAGUUUCUUUGUCUGAAUGUUUACUUUGAGAAAAUUAGAGUGCUCAAAGCAGGCUUUCGCCUUGAAUAGUUUAGCAUGGAAUAAUAAAGUAGGACUUUGGUUCUAUUUUGUUGGUUUUAGGUACCAAAGUAAUGGUUAAUAGGAACAGUUGGGGGCAUUCGUAUUUAACUGUCAGAGGUGAAAUUCUUAGAUUUGUUAAAGACGAACUACUGCGAAAGCAUUUGCCAAGGAUGUUUUCAUUAAUCAAGAAC
rnacentral:rRNA from 1 species